rnacentral:lncRNA from 1 species
CAAAAUAGGGUUUCUAUAGGUAUGGAAACCUCUGGUCUCGAUUUGUUGACCAAGUCUCCACAAACUAGUUUCUGAUCUCUUGCUUUGCUAAUCAUACGGUUGUGAAGAUUUGGUUGCGAAUUUCACAAGAUAUUGUGGUUUUGGUGUUCAAUUUUUCCUCUCUCCAUGGAAUUGAUUCGUCGACUGAAGUCUCCACUAACAAUUUUCUCAUCUCUUGCUUUGCUAAUCUACGAAAUGGGUUUAGGUUUAUUUGUCUCAGUCAAUUCAUAUAAGAUGUUUGUUAAUCA